UUUACACAGUGUAAUGUAAAUUUGCUUUUAUUUGCUAUAAUAAUUUUAUUUGAGUAGUGCUUCUAUACUUGUUAUAUUUUGAUACCGUUCAUUCAUUUUUAUUCAACGGCUCAAAUUUAUUUUUUUCAAAAUUGUAACUUGAUUAUGUCACUUUGAGAGAGAAACCGAUUACCUGGUACCCAAAGAGAAAUAUUUUGGUCAUUUAAUACAUAGUUAAUUUAGUAAUUUUACUUUCACUAUAUUAUCAAAUCUCUUUUCUCUCUAUGUUUUUUUCUCUUUCUAUCUUUCCUCUUCAUUCAUUCUAGGAGAAAUGAUUCGGUACUUUUUUUAAAAAAAAAUAAAAAAAGAUCUUAACCGUUGAUUAAUAGAGGGUAAAAAUGUAACUUUCAUACUUAUCAGGUAAAAUGAUUAUUUUAUUCAAGGUUAGUUUGGUAAUUAAAUAAUACAAUAUUUAAAGAAACUUUUAAUUGAGGUCCUAAAUUUAUGCAUUAAUUAGCACUAAUUUAGAAAAUUAAUUGAUUAACCAAAUUUAUGCAAUUAUUAGGCAUUAAU
rnacentral:lncRNA from 1 species